CCCUCCUCCGGCGAGGAGCCGCCGACGCGCGUCGUCUCCGGUCAUCCUCAACAUCACCCUCGACUGAUCGGAACCCUAGUCCCUCUAUUCUCCUAUCUUCCAGCGACUACAGCAGCGACGAGCCGCUGCUGCGCCUGAACCCUAGCCACUCCAAUCCAGUCGCCCUUAGCCUCCUCUCUUCUCUCCCUCCGUCUGUGGCCGAGCGACAGCGGCAGGGCCGCCGCGCCCUGGCCUCCCUCUGCAAAAACCUAGCCUAAUCUAGCCACCGCCCCAACCCUUGUUCUCUCCUUCUCCGACAACAGCCAAGGUCAAGGCUCACACACACAACCAUCGAAGCAGUCGCCCAUCUCCCUCUACCCUCUGCUCACUCCGACCGGCGGACAACAGUGGCGCCAAGCCACCACCUCCGCCUCCCUGACUCCGACCGACAGCAGUAGAUGGAGCAGACUGCCGCCGCCGUCCUGACCUCCCUCCACCUCUCGACUCUAAACCACAAUGAGAACGAAAUAGAUGUAGGUGUUCAAGAUGAAACCUUUGAAAGACAAUGAUAUGUGCUUGUUGGUUUUUCUCUGCUUCUUUUGCCUUUGGUGGUGAGGAUGGCGAAUGAGAAUUUACUUGGAUGCUUGCAGAAAUGAGUGAAGUUCUCAUGCUCUCCUCGUGGGGUUAGUGUAGAAUGGUGAAGGAAGUUGCUAGCUGAUUUGGUUUAAAGGGGGAUAUUGGUAGCUACCUCUCCUAUGACAAGCAAGAAGGAGGGGCUGCAGGUGGAGUGUAGGGUGGCUGAGUUGACAAGCUAGUGUACUAUGAGCUUGACUUUGCUUGAAAGGAAGAAGGGAGGUGCAGGCUAAGGGUGGCAGCGGAUGGAUGAAGAUUUGGGGAUAUCUUUUGUACUAACACAUGCGUGUAUGUGUAUGCAUGAAUAAGUAUAUAUGUAUUGCUUUCAUACUUUAUGCAAUAGUGUAGGCUUGAGUAGUAAAAUUGUAAUAUGAAUGUAAUUAAAUCCUUUGUAUAUCUGUAAAAGAUAUUCUUUUCGGUUUUGCUACUUGAUAAGCUCACCGUAUUUUCAAA